GAGAACUCUUGCUCUGCCUUCUCUCUACCUCUCUAGCAACACAGGUCCUGCUACACACUUUCUUGCUUUUCAUUUUCUGUAGUUUCAUUUUUUUUUUUUUUUUUCUCUCCAGCGACUUUGAAGCCCGUUGCUUCAGGAUGAUUCUUCAUCAGCAUCUGCCGAUUUCAUUUUUCAAUCUUUUGAAUCAUUUUCGAUAAUUCCCUGUGAGCGAUAUUGUUUAAAAAAACCCUAAACAAACCAUGCUUUCAACAACGGAACUCAUUCUAUAAUCCAUAAAUGGAGUACCACAAGUCGUCACAAGAAAUAUGAGCCACAAAUUUAGGAAAAAUCCAUCAUCAAACAACUACGGAUCUGUUUAGAAACGAAGCACCCAUAGUGGUGACAAUGACUCUACGAAAUAGACCUGAGGAAAAUCCAGAUGAGAAAAGCUUCAAUUGUAUAAGACCUGAGGAAAAUCCAGAUGAGAAAAGCUUCAAUUGUAUAAGGUAACCGUAUUUCAUAAGUUGUUUUAAUUUAUGAAAUUUAUUGAUUGUGUUAAAAAAUCAUUUUUUUAAUUUGUCCUUGUUCCACUGACUCUACGAAAUAGACCUGAGGAAAAUCCAGAUGAGAAAAGCUUCAAUUGUAUAAGGUAACCGUAUUUCAUAAGUUGUUUUAAUUUAUGAAAUUUAUUGAUUGUGUUAAAAAAAUCAUUUUUUUAAUUUGUCCCUGUUCUGUUGGUAUAAAAUAUAAAUUUAUAAAGAUUUUGUUAAAAUUUUUAUUUGAAAAUAUUGACCAAUUUAAAGUGUAAUAUAAAUAUAUUUUGAAGUAAUAUAUGUUGCAGAUUUCAGAAAAAAAAAAACAAAAUUCCUUCUAUGAAGCGCACAUGAAUAUCCUUGCAAUAAUUUUUUUAACAUAUCAGUUUGGUCAUUUGUUUAUGUAUUCUUAAGGUAGCCAAAAAAAUGCAUAGUACCUUUAUUUGCAUCUAUUUCCUUCUUCCCUGUGCAGCCUAUGGUAACUGAUCCCUUGAGUGUCUACUGCAUUAUCAAUUUUUGACUUGAUUUCUUGCAACUGAACUUCUUGUACUGCAGUAUGUUUUAAUGCUUUGAAUGCAUUCCUGGUAAAAUGUACCAUAGAUGACCUGCUUAACCUUGAAAAUAUGUACUCCAUGUUGUCGUUUUUUUUUAUUUUUUGGAAAA